UACGGGGGGGAGCAAGCGUUGUUCGGAUUUACUGGGCGUAAAGGGCGCGUAGGCGGUCAGCACAAGUCAGUUGUGAAAUCUCCGGGCUUAACUCGGAAAGGUCAACUGAUACUGUGCGACUAGAGUGCAGAAGGGGCAACUGGAAUUCUCGGUGUAGCGGUGAAAUGCGCAGAUAUCGGGAGGAACACCAAUGGCGAAGGCAGCUCGCUGGGACGGUACUGACGCUGAGACGCGAAAGCGUGGGGAGCAAACAGGG
rnacentral:rRNA from 1 species